AGAAAUAAUAUAAAAUUUGUUAAAGAAUAUUUAAGAAUUAAUAAUUAAGUAUGCCCUUUAUGUUACGAUAAAUAGAACUGCUUGGUUUUCAAGUUUUAUCAUUUUAUCCACAAAUUAUUGAAGGAUUUACAAGCAUUAGACGUUACAAAUUGUUUUCAAAAUGAUGACCAUGAUGUCUGACACACAUCCGUGCUCUUUUUCUCAUGGCACCUACAAUUACUAGUGUCGAUAAAUUGGUUCUAAGUUUAUCAGAGACUUCAAGGAUUUUAAUCUUUAAAUCUUCAUCACUGUUAAUUACUGAAAUGUACACCUACACCCAACAAGCGUGUUCCUGGUUGAACCAACAAUAUUCAACAUGGAGUGGUAGAGGAGUCAUCCGUGGCCACCUCGUCUCCCUGAUCUUACAUCGAUUUCUACAUUUGGGGCAUUCCUUAAGAAGGUGUACUGUUCAGUAGUAAAUCCAGAGGUGUUUGAAUCCAAAACUGUGUGUAACAUGAUGAUAGAAAUUUUUGUUUGCUUACAUAAUGUACUUUCCAUGGAAAAACCAACAAAAAAUCGUAACUCGUCAAGGAUUAAAUAUAUACUAUAUAAAGACUAUACUGCUACGCUGGGAGUUGUUUCAAACUAUCACCUAAAAUUUUUUUAUACUUUCUCUGGGGCACACUGUAAUAAUAAUGAACUAAGCAAUAGCUUUUAAUGUGUUAACAAGCAUACUUUACAUUUCUGAUCCAUUUUGAGUGAGCUUAGAUGGCAAUAACCAAAGUUGUCUUCAAAUGAAAAAAAAUACGAAGUGUUUGGAAAUAUAGACACUUCUGGGUUUCCAACUUACAACAUUGAUUUCACAUAUUUUAAAAAAUCACCAAUGUUUUUCACAUCUACGUAUGCAAAGAAAAUUUCUAUGUGAUAAAUCAACAGGACAGCCUUGGGUUUGUGUUUUCUAUAAUAGUCUAUGAGUACAUUUAUAUACCAAUUGUCUUUCUAUCAAUUCUAAGCUGUACUUUCAUGCAUUCUACUGACAUUAUCUUGCAUGUGGAAGAUAAUUUAAUGUUUGUAAAGGGAUAAAUCAAUUGAUAAAAAAGAAAAAAUAUUUCUUUUCACCUUAGCUUUUGCUGUUAGUCAACUGCUCUUUUGUAUCCACCAUACAAAAUAAUACUAUACAAAUUCCUGACCCCAACCCAGUCAUACCAGAUCUCAAAGUGAAUGUGCAUGUUUGGGUUAUGAUUGCACUAAUGAUCAGGGGCUCAACAUCAGCUAUAGAGCACUCUCAGGCCUACAAACAUCUCUGGAGGUAGAGAAGGAUCAGUGGAGAUAGAGAAAAGGCAGUUGAUAUAAGAAACUAUUAUACUACUGAGAGAUUUAAUUAUUUUUUAAAAUAUGUAAUUUAAAACUAUCAUUAUAAGGGCAGUUAAAACAAUUAACUUUUAACCAUGAUGUAAGCCGUAUGUAAGCCUGGUGUAUGGACAGUAAUUUAAAUGUAAAACUUAUAGUAUUAUAAAGGUGUGUGAAGUGAAAGAUAAUUUAAUUUUUGUUAUUCUAUACUUUGAAUAAUCGGCAAAUGAAAAUAAAUGUUAUGAACAGUUACGGGACCUCCAUCACUGAACUGAAGACAGUAAACAAACCUGUCAGAAAACUAAUUACUUUUUUCAAACCGAUGAAUGUAAGCAUUUAAGCCCUAUAACAAUUAUUCUUUUUAAAUAGGACUUUCAUUGAAAACGGAGAAGGCCUUCAAUCCUCCAUCGGUCCGUUAAUGAGGUUCUACCGCAGUCCAUAAGGCAAUGCCUAAAACUCCAUCAAUCGCUCGACGGAGUGUCGAACGGGUUCGGAUUAAAUGUUAAAACUUUAAUCGCCUGUUUGACUCAACAGAGGCAUGCAAGUGAUCACUGUCACAUGAACCAAUACACUCAUGAUUAAACCAUUGUGAGUUAACGACCAAGAGCCUAAAUCCAAUCGGAUUUACAGCAAGUUUACAGCUUGCUUAAUGCAAUGAAAUUUUUUACAUAGCGUUAAUUGAAAACAGGAAAUAGUUUCAAAUAGGCUUUUGUAGUAUAUAAAUAAACGAAAAAGGCUUAAAUUAUACGAUGUGUUGUUAUUUAAUUGGUGUUUUUCGUCGUCGAUAGACCCCGGGGCGUGAAGGAAACCGAGUGGUUUUGAUUUUGCACAGGAGUAGAAGGAAGAAAUAAGACGGGAUGCUCAAGUAUUGGUGAGUUUACAAAACAUAGAUUGGGUGACAAACAAACAGAAACGGGAUGGAAACGGUCCGACUGGCUAAAUACGUCUUUUAUUUACUAACAAAAAAGUUGGGCUGUCAGGGGAAGUUAACCUUCGUCGUGAAAAUAAAAAUAAUCGAGGGA
rnacentral:lncRNA from 1 species